rnacentral:rRNA from 1 species
AGUCAAGUAAUUAAGUGCAUGUGGUGGAUGCCUUGGCAGUCAGAGGCGAUGAAAGACGUGAUAGCCUGCGAAAAGCUCCGGGGAGGCGGCAAAUAUCCUUUGAUCCGGAGAUGUCUGAAUGGGGGAACCCACCUACUUUAAGGUAGGUAUUGCAACAUGAAUACAUAGUGUUGCAAGGCGAACGAGGGGAAGUGAAACAUCUCAGUACCCUUGGAAAAGAAAUCAAUUGAGAUUCCCUCAGUAGCGGCGAGCGAACGGGGAUCAGCCCAUUAAGUUAUGUGUGUUUUAGUGGAACGCUCUGGGAAGUGCGAACGUAGAGGGUGAUAUUCCCGUACACGAAAGGGCACACAUAAUGAUGACGAGUAGGGCGAGGCACGUGAAACCUUGUCUGAAUAUGGGGGGACCAUCCUCCAAGGCUAAAUACUCCUGACUGACCGAUAGUGAACCAGUACCGUGAGGGAAAGGCGAAAAGAACCCCUGUGAGGGGAGUGAAAUAGAUCCUGAAACCGCAUGCAUACAAGCAGUGGGAGCACCUUCGUGGUGUGACUGCGUACCUUUUGUAUAAUGGGUCAGCGACUUAUAUUCAGUAGCGAGGUUAACCGUAUAGGGGAGCCGUAGAGAAAUCGAGUCUUAAUAGGGCGUUUAGUUGCUGGGUAUAGACCCGAAACCAGGCGAUCUAUCCAUGAGCAGGUUGAAGGUUGGGUAACACUAACUGGAGGACCGAACCCACUGUCGUUGAAAAGCCAGGGGAUGACUUGUGGAUAGGGGUGAAAGGCUAAUCAAGCCUGGUGAUAGCUGGUUCUCCCCGAAAGCUAUUUAGGUAGCGCCUCGGACGAAUACCAUAGGGGGUAGAGCACUGUUUCGGCUAGGGGGUCAUCCCGACUUACCAAACCGAUGCAAACUCCGAAUACCUAUGAGUACUAUCCGGGAGACAGACUGCGGGUGCUAACGUCCGUAGUCAAGAGGAAAACAAUCCAGACCGCCAGCUAAGGCCCCAAAAUCAUAGUUAAGUGGGAAACGAUGUGGGAAGGCAUAGACAGCUAGGAGGUUGGCUUAGAAGCAGCCACCCUUUAAAGAAAGCGUAAUAGCUCACUAGUCGAGUCGGCCUGCGCGGAAGAUGUAACGGGGCUAAAACUAUGUGCCGAAGCUGCGGAUGUAUACUUUGUAUACGUGGUAGGGGAGCGUUCUGUAAGCCGAUGAAGGUGUGUUGAGAAGCAUGCUGGAGGUAUCAGAAGUGCGAAUGCUGACGUGAGUAACGACAAAACGGGUGAAAAACCCGUUCGCCGAAAGACCAAGGGUUCCAGUCCAACGUUAAUCGGGGCUGGGUGAGUCGACCCCUAAGGCGAGGCCGAAAGGCGUAGUCGAUGGGAAAAUGGUUAAUAUUCCAUUACUUCUGUGUAAUGCGAUGAGAGGACGGAGAAGGCUAAAUCAGCCUGGCGUUGGUUGUCCAGGUGAAAGGAUGUAGGCAUGUAUCUUAGGCAAAUCCGGGGUACUCUAUGCUGAGAUCUGAUAGCAAGCUGUACUUGUACAGCGAAGUGGUUGAUGCCAUGCUUCCAGGAAAAGUCUCUAAGCUUCAGUUACACAGGAAUCGUACCCGAAACCGACACAGGUGGUCAGGUCGAGUAGACCAAGGCGCUUGAGAGAACUCUGCUGAAGGAACUAGGCAAAAUGGUACCGUAACUUCGGGAGAAGGUACGCUGUUGUUGGUGAUGGAACUCGCUUCCUGAGCUGACGACAGCCGCAGAAACCAGGCCGCUGCAACUGUUUAUUAAAAACAUAGCACUCUGCAAACACGAAAGUGGACGUAUAGGGUGUGAUGCCUGCCCGGUGCUGGAAGGUUAAUUGAUGGGGUUAGCGUAAGCGAAGCUCUUGAUCGAAGCCCCAGUAAACGGCGGCCGUAACUAUAACGGUCCUAAGGUAGCGAAAUUCCUUGUCGGGUAAGUUCCGACCUGCACGAAUGGCAUAAUGAUGGCGGCGCUGUCUCCAGCAGAGGCUCAGUGAAAUCGAAAUCGCUGUGAAGAUGCAGUGUACCCGCGGCUAGACGGAAAGACCCCGUGAACCUUUACUGCAGCUUGACACUGAACUUUGACCUUACUUGUGUAGGAUAGGUGGGAGGCUUUGAAGCUGGAACGCUAGUUCCAGUGGAGCCGUCCUUGAAAUACCACCCUGGUAAUGUUGAGGUUCUAACUCUGUCCCGUGAUCCGGGACGAGGACCGUGUCUGGUGGGUAGUUUGACUGGGGCGGUCUCCUCCUAAAGAGUAACGGAGGAGUACGAAGGUGCGCUCAGCGUGGUCGGAAAUCACGCGUAGAGUAUAAAGGCAAAAGCGCGCUUAACUGCGAGACCCACAAGUCGAGCAGGUACGAAAGUAGGUCUUAGUGAUCCGGUGGUUCUGUAUGGAAGGGCCAUCGCUCAACGGAUAAAAGGUACUCUGGGGAUAACAGGCUGAUACCGCCCAAGAGUUCAUAUCGACGGCGGUGUUUGGCACCUCGAUGUCGGCUCAUCUCAUCCUGGGGCUGAAGCAGGUCCCAAGGGUAUGGCUGUUCGCCAUUUAAAGAGGUACGCGAGCUGGGUUUAGAACGUCGUGAGACAGUUCGGUCCCUAUCUACCGUGGGCGCUGGAAAUUUGAGAGGAUCUGCUCCUAGUACGAGAGGACCAGAGUGGACGAACCUCUGGUGUACCGGUUGUGACGCCAGUCGCAUCGCCGGGUAGCUAUGUUCGGAAGGGAUAACCGCUGAAAGCAUCUAAGCGGGAAGCCUACCUCAAGAUAAGAUUUCCCUAGGACUUUAUGUCCUCUAAAGAGCCGUUCGAGACUAGGACGUUGAUAGGUUGGAUGUGGAAGCAUAGUGAUAUGUGAAGCUGACCAAUACUAAUUGCUCGUGAGGCUUGACUAU